rnacentral:rRNA from 1 species
CAGCCGUAAACUAUGCGCGUUAGGUGUACUGGUGACCACGAGUCACCGGGGUGCCGAAGGGAAACCGUGAAACGUGCCGCCUGGGAAGUACGGUCGCAAGGCUGAAACUUAAAGGAAUUGGCGGGGGAGCACCGCAACGGGAGGAGCGUGCGGUUUAAUUGGAUUCAACACCGUAAAACUCACCAGGGAGACUGUUACAUGAAAGCCGAGAUGAAGACUCUGCUAGAUUUUCAGAGAGGUGGUGCAUGGCGUCAGUGACU